CACCUACUCCCUCCGUUCGGAAUUAUUGUCGUAGAAAUGGAUGUAUCUAGACAUUUUUUAGUUCUAGAUACAUCGAUUUCUGCGACAAGUAUUCAGAACGGAGGGAGUACCUA
rnacentral:pre_miRNA from 1 species